GAUGAACGCUGGCGGCGUGCCUAAUACAUGCAAGUCGAGCGAACAGACGAGGAGCUUGCUCCUCUGACGUUAGCGGCGGACGGGUGAGUAACACGUGGAUAACCUACCUAUAAGACUGGGAUAACUUCGGGAAACCGGAGCUAAUACCGGAUAAUAUAUUGAACCGCAUGGUUCAAUAGUGAAAGACGGUUUUGCUGUCACUUAUAGAUGGAUCCGCGCCGCAUUAGCUAGUUGGUAAGGUAACGGCUUACCAAGGCGACGCUGCGUAGCCGACCUGAGAGGGUGAUCGGCCACACUGGAACUGAGACACGGUCCAGACUCCUACGGGAGGCAGCAGUAGGGAAUCUUCCGCAAAGGGCGAAAGCCUGACGGAGCAACGCCGCGUGAGUGAUGAAGGUCUUCGGAUCGUAAAACUCUGUUAUUAGGGAAGAACAAAUGUGUAAGUAACUAUGCACGUCUUGACGGUACCUAAUCAGAAAGCCACGGCUAACUACGUG
rnacentral:rRNA from 1 species